CCUAUAAACACAAAAAUAACGUAAAUAGCUCAAAAAUAUAAGGAACUAACUAAGAAAAGACGAGUGAAUUUGAAGUAAAAAUAUAUAUAAAUAUGAUCCGAUCAAAUACCCCCACACUUAACUUUUGCUAGUCCUCGAGCAAAACAAAGAAAAUAUGAAAAAGUAAUAACAUGAAAAACAUUAGCUUCCCUCUAUGUGACCCUCAUAGAAUUUCAUUUGAGAACACAAAUCAUCAAGAACCAUAGCUAGCACCAAACAAGUUAAUCCAAGUUCAUCUUCCUAAUUCAAAUAUUAGCAGUAAUCUUUGAAUCAUCCUUGAAGUGUAGUGUGUGAGAUAGCCAUGCUAAUGCAAUUUCAAGUUUUUAUUUUUAAAAUCAUCAUAUGCAAACUAGCGACCUUCUCACGGGAUAUGCACUCAAUCACACAUGUGUUUAGUUUUAAUGUGUUUUGCUCAAAGAAUCAAAUGUGAAAUUUCUACCAUAAGCUUGCAUAAAGAUCUCAUCUCCACAAUCAUAAUUGCAAAACUUAAAUCAAGAGGACUUUUAUUGGAUGUAAUGAGGCUUAGGGAUAGGGUUAUUGAAACGAAAGAAUA
rnacentral:lncRNA from 1 species